GGUUCUAUGGUGUAAUGGUUAGCACUCAGGACUUGAAUCCUGCGAUCCGAGUUCAAAUCUCGGUAGGACCU
rnacentral:tRNA from 1 species